UACAGAGGGUGCAAGCGUUAAUCGGAAUUACUGGGCGUAAAGCGUGCGUAGACGGUUACGUAAGUCGGGUGUUAAAGCCCCGGGCUCAACCUGGGAAUUGCAUUCGAGACUGCGUAGCUAGGGUGCGGAAGAGGGAAGCGGAAUUUCCGGUGUAGCGGUGAAAUGCGUAGAUAUCGGAAGGAACAUCAGUGGCGAAAGCGGCUUCCUGGUCCAGCACCGACGUUCAGGCACGAAAGCGUGGGGAGCAAACAGG
rnacentral:rRNA from 1 species